rnacentral:ncRNA from 1 species
AGGUACGCCCUGACAAGAUAGGGGCGUUUAAUAGGGAAGUCUGGGCCAAUUGCCCCGCAGCCCCCGCUGCCGUUUCAGCGGCGCGCGCUCUCCACUGUAAAAGUCGCGGCAAUCCGCGGCAUAUGGGAAGGGGAGCGCUGCAUCAAAACCGCUGUUGUAAGCCGGAAGACCUGCCGCACGC